rnacentral:rRNA from 1 species
GACAGAGGCCUCAAGCGUUAGGCGGAAUCACUGGGCUUAAAGCGUGUGUAGGCGGAUCGUUAAGUGUCUUGUGAAAUCCCACGGCUCACCCGUGGAACUGCUGGGCAUACUGGCGAUCUUGGGCCAACUAGGGGCAACUGGAACGAGCGGUGGAGCGGUGAAAUGCGUAGAUAUCGCUUGGAACGCCAACGGUGAAAACAGGUUGCUGGGGUUGUGCCGACGCUGAGACACGAAAGCCAGGGGAGCAAACGGG